CCGGCAAGCCAUCCUGUCGCUGCGGCCCAACCGGGGCCGGAGAGGAAAGUCCGGGCACCGCAGGGCAGUCUGCUUCCUAACGGGAAGGCGCUGUUCCGGCGACGGAACAGCGACCGCCAGUGCCACAGAAAAUAACCGCCGCGCCGGGUGCAAGCCGGGCGCGGUAAGGGUGAAAAGGUAGGGUAAGAGCCUACCAGCGAGCCGGCAACGGCUUCGGCUGGGUAAACCGCAGGCGGUGAAAGCCCAAAUAGGCCGAUACGCUUCCGCGAGGGAGCAGCGGGCGGCCCGUCCGUGUCGGUGGGUAGGGCGAUGGAGCCUUUCGGCGACGACUGGCCUAGAUAAAUGAUAGGACGGCGGGCUUCGGCCCGCCCGACAGAACCCGGCUUAUCGGCUUGUCGGCCCG
rnacentral:RNase_P_RNA from 1 species